GUCCACGCCGUAAACGAUGGACGCUAGGUGUGGGCGGUGUCGACUCCGUCCGUGCCGAAGCUAACGCAUUAAGCGUCCCGCCUGGGGAGUACGGCCGCAAGGCUAAAACUCAAAGGAAUUGACGGGGCCCGCACAAGCAGCGGAGCAUGCUGUUUAAUUCGAAGCAACGCGAAGAACCUUACCUGGGCUUGACAUGCAUCCGAAAUCUUGGGAAACCAAGCCCCCAGCAAUGGCGGAUGUGCAGGUGGUGCAUGGCUGUCGU
rnacentral:rRNA from 1 species